UUGACACUAAAGGGUUAUUGUCCUUUAAUUAGCAUCACCGAUACUAAUUACUUAUCUCUUGUAUACUCAGCUUCCCUUCCACAUAUCCAUCAUGCAUUUAGUACACUACCAAUGUUUUGUCAUAUUUAUCUUGAUCUUCCUUCAGCCUCUACAACCUUCAGCACAACUGAAACAUAUAUGUAUGUACAUAGACAUAUAUAUAUACACACACACACACGUACAUCUAACUAUAUUUGUAUACAUAUAUACAUGUGUAUACAUACAUGAUAUCUAUAUACAAAUAUAUCCUCCAAAAACAAUAUACAACUUAGUAAUUCUUGGAUUCAUCUUAAAGGAUAUCAACAAACAUAAGAUUGAUCUUGAUUUAUAAAAGUAAAUUGACAAAGAAGAAGAAGAAGAAGAAGAAAAAGAGAAUUAAAGGAAGAGGGCAAUGAAGAAGAGGGAAUGUGGGGAGGGGAUAAGUUUUGUGUCUAAAUUGGGUCAACUUAUUUUCUUUCAGUAAUUAUUUAUUUAUUUAUCAUUCCUAAAAUUAAAAUAAAUAAAACCAAUCAUUCUUGUGAUCGGAAUUUCUCUAGUCGGACUCAGAUCCUCCGCUUCUUCUUCUUCUUCUUCUUGAAAUCUUGAACGGAGAAGAUGACUCGAGGAAAGCAGAAGAUCGAAGCUCAGAAACGAAAUGCGGAGAAAAAUCAGAAGCCCAAAGGCUCUCAGCUCGAGGCCAGAGCCGUUGCCCUUAAAGUCAUCUGCCCGAUUUGCAAGGUACAACUUGCAAAUCAGAACCAGUUGGGUGAUCAUUAUGGCUCCAAACAUCCAAAGGAAAAGCCCCCAUCAGAAUCUGGUUGAAUCUUCGCUUGCAUUUGAAGUAUGAGUGUUGCUUUAUUGAAGGCAUUUCACAGUUCUCUUCUGUUCAGAUCAAUGAAAAAAUUUCUCUGAUCGUCUUCAACUUUCCUGUUCUUAAAAUGUAUUACUUGUAAGGGUAAAAAACGAUUGGUCAUUCUGUCACUUGUAAAAUAAAAAUAGACUCUAAUAUGCUCUUUUCCAGAUCCUCAAUCUAAUAUCUCCUCUGUGCCUAUAAAA